CCUACGGGAGGCAGCAGUGAGGAAUUUUCUGCAAUGGGCGCAAGCCUGACAGAGCAAUACCGCGUGAGGGAUGAAGGCCUAUGGGUUGUAAACCUCUUUUCUCAAGGAGGAAGAUCUGACGUUACUUGAGGAAUAAGCAUCGGCUAACCCUGUGCCAGCAGCCGCGGUAAUACAGGGGAUGCAAGUGUUAUCCGGAAUUAUUGGGCGUAAAGCGUCUGCAGGUGGAUAUUUAAGUCUUUUGUUAAAUCUCUGGGCUUAACCCGGAAACAGCAAAAGAAAC
rnacentral:rRNA from 1 species